rnacentral:rRNA from 1 species
GACGAACGCUGGCGGCGUGCUUAACACAUGCAAGUCGAACGGAAAGGCCCUGCUUUUGUGGGGUGCUCGAGUGGCGAACGGGUGAGUAACACGUGAGUAACCUGCCCUUGACUUUGGGAUAACUUCAGGAAACUGGGGCUAAUACCGGAUAGGAGCUCCUGCUGCAUGGUGGGGGUUGGAAAGUUUCGGCGGUUGGGGAUGGACUCGCGGCUUAUCAGCUUGUUGGUGGGGUAGUGGCUUACCAAGGCUUUGACGGGUAGCCGGCCUGAGAGGGUGACCGGCCACGUUGGGACUGGGAUACGACCCAGACUCCACCGGGAGGCAGCAGUGGGGAAUAUUGCACAAUGGGCGGAAGCCUGAUGCAGCAACGCCGCGUGCGGGAUGACGGCCUUCGGGUUGUAAACCGCUUUCGCCUGUGACGAAGCGUGAGUGACGGUAAUGGGUAAAGAAGCACCGGCUAACUACGUG